rnacentral:lncRNA from 1 species
CCCGGUGUGGUUACCUGCCUUGAUGAGGCCCGACAUGGCUUUGAGACUGGUGACUUCGUCUCAUUCUCAGAAGUACAGGGCAUGGUCCAACUCAAUGGAUGUCAGCCCAUAGAGAUCAAAGUGCUGGGUCCUUAUACUUUUAGUAUCUGUGACACCUCCAACUUCUCUGACUACAUCCGUGGAGGCAUCGUCAGCCAGGUCAAAGUACCUAAAAAGAUUAGCUUUGUGAGUAUUGGUUCAUGGCAGGUGGUUC